CUCUUUUGCCUGAGAAGACUCCGAUUAGAAGAAUAGAAUAGAAUAUUCCCCAAUGGGGGAAAUUUUCUUGUCACAGCAGCAUCACAGACAAAGAGUGCAAAAUUGCAGUUAUAAAAAUAAAGAUCCUAAUAUUAAGAACUUCAAUAAAUGUAAUAAUUAAGAAAAAAAAUAGAAAAAGGAAAAAGGGAGAAGAAAAAUAAAACUAUCUACAAUAUACACAAUUUAAAUGCCAGAAAAAAGUGGUGGUAUAAAUCCAGUUAUUAUUACAGUUGGUUGUAAAGUCGUAUUGCAGAGGGGAGGAAUGGCCUGCAGUAGUGCUCCGUCCUGCAAGGUGGAAGUCUAAAUCUGCUGCUGAAGGAGCUGCUCAACAGACAUCUGUAGUAAGAUGCUGCAGAUGUUUUAUCAGUCUGUGGUGGCAAGUGUUGUGUUCUGCGCUGCAGUCUGCAGGGGAGAAAGCAUCAAACACAAAGAUGCAAAACGUCUGAACAUACUGGUGAAAAAGGCUGGCUGUGUUGGAGGAUGUGGUGGAGAAAUGUAGACUGAGGGAGGUGGAGGCUAUUUUAAAGAACAUGGAUCAACCACUUCACAACACCUUAAUGGACCAAAGGGCCAAUGGUGGUGGACAGCUCCUCUCUCUUUACUGCAGGACAGAAAGAUUGAGAAGAUCUUUUGUACCCACAGCCAUCAGACUUUACAACUCUUUUAUAAAUAGUAGAUGACUUUUGAGACAUGACCAGUGAGACGACAGACAAUUGGAUUUCCCUUCAGGGAUCAAUAAAGUUAUUCUUAUUCUUAUCCCUUGUAUUUUUCUUUUUUUUUGUAUGAUCUGGACUUAAUGGGUCUGAAAUAACCCUGUGCUGGGGCAACACUUAAUCUUCUGUAUCUUGUCCUGUGCUCUCCUAUUAUGCAAUGCAGUGGGGCGAGGUUUUUUUUUUUUUCUAAAUUCACUUAUUAGAAUGCCGAAGAUACUUGUAUUGAGUCCUGGUCUUUUGUUGUCACAUUAGACCUCUCUUAAACUUCAAUAAUAUUAACAGUAAAAUGUAUUAGGUUUAUGACCAAAAUUGAUUGUUUAGAAGAUUAUGAAGAAGAUAAUAGGGACAGAGAGGGUAGAUAGUGAGGACAAAGACAUGACUACUUCAAAAUAUAGAGACCUCUAGUCAAUAAAUACUGAGAUACAAGGACAUUUGCUAACUAAACUGUUACUUUUGUUUGAGUACUAAAAUAUUUGCUUUUGAAAAUGCCUAGAUAGACCUACUUAUUUGACUUUUUGAGAAAAUCUCAAAACAAUGUUGUUUUCUCAUCAUUCAUGUGCGCAUGUUUUAAAACUUAAAAACAUAAUUUAAGCUGACUUUAAAGCAAAAGUGGAGAGCAAUGAGAACAUGAUCUGGUUUGGUGGGGUCACCCCAUCUCAUCUCCAGUGACCAGGUCAAGCAUUACAUUCUUUUGGGGGUACUUAGGGUGAGAAAGCGGGCAUCUCUGCUACAAGACCCCAAUUUAUAUUUCUCUAAAGAAAUUAUGUAUGUGUUUGUUCUUUUUUUUUUUUUACUAUAGUAUUAUUUUAUUAUCUCCCAUGUUAUUUGUUCAAUGUUCCUUUGUCUGAAAUGUUGGGGUUGUACUUGGUCAUGAAGUUGACAGUUUUUGAUACAAAUAAAAAGUUCCCCUACUGCUAACCGGGAAGUGAAUCGGAAGCUGAGUGACAUCAAGGUAUAUUCCCCCCACACCGGACCUUUACCGACCUCCCAUAAUCAACCAAAUCCAGCAUCAAAUGAUCAGAGCCAAAUAAACUGUAGCUUUGUGAAACCUGAGGCCUGUACUAUGCAGCUGGAUUAACACACCCAGGAUAACUGCCAAAACUCACUUAACUUCACCAGAUCUCCGUAAUCCCGAUCAGCUGUACUACGAGGCAGGAUAUCAACUCGAUAACUGAAUUCAAUAGAGGGAAUUCACGCUGAUGUCAGUCGACUUCUGUCUGUCUGUGUGCAUCACAUCACAGAUGUGUCUAAAAUCUCCCAGAAUGAUUCCUGCCUUCAUUUAAGACAGAAAGAACAAACAGGCAAAGAAUUUUUUUGGAGACUGAGACAUUUCUAUAUCCUAUUAAAAAAAAUAAAAAUGAGGAAGCUCACUCACCUCAGGUUUCUCAAAAUGAAAAGUUGUUAUCCCGCUGCUGUUGCAGACUGUUUUCCUGCAGUUGCAUGAGAGACUGUGGUGUUACCAGUUCCAGCAAAUUUGCAAGAUGUACUUCAUUGUAUUUCUCAGUCUAUCUAUUAUUUGUGAGUUAACACCUUCCUCUUCUUUUUUGUCUAGGUAACCCUGACAGAGCUUGGCAGAGUGCUUAGGGUCAUUGUCUUUCUGCAAAACAAACUUAUGAGCCACAAGUCUGAGUCCAGAUGGAACAGCAUGGUGCUGGAGGAUGGAGUGGUACUGUUCCUUCUUCAUGAUACCCUUUACUUCAAACAAAUCUCCUACUCCAUUACCUACAAAUCUCCAUACCAUAGAAUACCAAGUGAAUAAUCCAACUGUGAUUUGCUUUUUGAUUGCUUUUCCACUGAAGUUGUGACUCUUGCAAAUGUUUUCAACCCUAAAACAAAGCCCUUAUUAUCUUUUGCUGACAUAUAUUUAGCAAUGGUCUGUUAACAUCAAUGUAUAUCUAAAGGUAAAUGGAGUAAAAUGGUGCAUUUCCAUGAAAACAACACCUAAACAUGGAGUAAAUACAUAAAACUCAUGCUGGAUUUUAAAAAAAUCAUUGUGAACAAUGGCCUUGCUUCCAAACUUUUGUAGUGUAGCUAGUAUAUGUAAAUGCAGAUUAAAAAAUUAUACAUUAUGGAGAUAAAUUAUCACAAUUCCACAAUAUUCUAAUUUUGGGGGAUUUACCUAUAUAGCACUUUAGGAGUGAAGUCGGUGCCAUCGCCCCUGGCAUGCACCAGCUUUCUGCAAACCUGGCACCAGCCAAGGACACAGGGCAGAUAUUAAUGUUUGUUCGAUGUUCAACAAGUUCAAAAUUUGUAUUGUCGUAUCAAAACAUUAUUCAUCUUGUUUUUAUUACAAGGGAUUGCACCAGAGGCCACUAAUAAAAUGGAGGUGUGUAGACCAGUGCCUACAAAAAAAAGACUGGUGUUAAAUGUAUGCUGUACAAGGCAUAUACUGAUGAUUAUGACUGAGCUCUUACCUAUCAUAUAAAAUCAAAAUUAGAAGGGGUUUUAUUGCCAUUGUCAAUGAACAGGAUUCACAGACUAGGAAUUUUUUACGGCGUGAUGGUGCAACAUUACAGUGGCCUGGAAGUGCAAAAAUACAACCGCAAAAGAGAAAACACAAUCUUUCGAAACGUUUUUAUUGAGGGUGGGUGGCCAACUUCACGAAGGUGGAAUAUAGGGAAUCUCUUUUUUGCCACAGUUUAGACUAACUUGGUGUUUUCAAAGCUUUUAAACACAGUAACUAAAGAAACAUCAGUGGGCACAUUUUUGUAAUUCAUCAUGGUUGUCAAAGUUCAUUAUUUGUUAUUAUUAAAGCUGUUCUAUUAAGGUUAAAGCUCCAUAUAAAAGUAACCCAUUAGUAAAAUAUCCCGGUUCGGUGCGGUUCUCCUCCUCUGAUCAUAGCGGCCUCCUUAGCAGUAGUCUGUUAUACAGAAAUAAGAGACCCAAAAUUUAACAUAUUUAUUUCUUUGUUUUCCUGCAGCAUCACAGACUAUUCAAACCCCUACUCUUCAGACCUUUCUGGAGUACAGAAAGAAGAAAGCAGAGGAGAGGCAAAAGUUUUCAUGGGCUAAAACAACAGUAAUUAAAACAGCAGCCUUAGGCAAGGAUGUCAAAGGACAUCAGUUAUUUUAUCAGCACUCUUUUGAAAGUGAUACAGCAUAAUGACAAUGCUUCAUGUGAUUCGACAUUCAAUCAUCAGCAUUCAAUAACAUUAAUCACAGUGGGUGACUAUUAGAUCUUACUCCUUUACCAGUAAAAAGUGUAAGUUGGAUCAAAUAACCAUGUAUCUUGAAGAUCUUGCAGGACAAACGCGACCCCUCCUCUCUCUGCACACACCCCAGAGACACUCCCAGUUUGAAGCACAUGAAACCAAUAAAGUUGGAGUGAUCAUGGUCUUGUGCUUAAUCUGAUGCUCUUGGUUUUAUCUUACUCCCUUACGCCUUUCUUUUUACUUGUCCUCUUCUACUCCACUCAUUUUUCCCCACCUUUUCCUAGUUUUACGCCACGUGACAGCCGACAGCCUUGUCGGACCGAUCUGUGGACAGAGAAUCUUUUAGUGAUAUUUGGGAAAAGCAGGACACUACUACUGAUGUCUUUAUAAAGCAUUCUGACAGCGGAAAUAAAUUUUUCUCCAAAACCAAAAAUUUGAAGUGAUCGAAAUAAGAAUUGAUGCUCUACGGUGUGGAAUGCCUGAUAAAAGUCCAAGAAUAAAAUCAAAGCGUCUGAUUCAACGUAAUCAGAGUAAUCCAUUAAAUCAAGAACAAGUCUAAUAUUACAACUUAUGUGCCGAUUAGCCAUAAAGCCGGUUUGGGUUUCAUUGAUGAUUUCACUUAAUCCUUUUUCAGUUGUUUGGCCAGAACUAAUGAGAGUAUUUUCAAGUCUACAUUUAAUAGUGUUAUCGGUCUCCAAUUAUCUAAAGAUAGGUGAUCUUUGUCUGGUUUGGGGAUCAAUGUUAUUAUUCCUUGUUUCAUAGUUGCAGUCAUCUCUUCUUUAUCAACACAUUCCUUUAUCAUUUCAAAGAGGGGUUUUCAAUUAUGCUCUAGAAACAUAGGUAAAACUCGUCAGGAAGCCCAUCCAUUCCUGGAGACUUUCCUUUUUUCAUCUUCUUAAUAGCUUCAGAUAUUUCAGACUUGAGUUUAUCACAGUCCAGCUUAAAUUCGUUGGAUAUUUGUGGCGUAAAUUCUUUAACAUUGUUUAUAAAUUUUUCACAUUCAGUUUGAUUAUGAACAGAACUGUACAGAUCAGAAUAAAAUUUUAGAGUAUAAUUGGCAAUAUCAGAAGGAUCAGAGCUAGUUGAGUUAUCUAUUUUCAAAGAUGUUAUAUUAUUUCUUCUAUAAUUCCUUUUUUCCAGGGCGAAAAAAAGUCUGUAUUCAUUUCUCCCUCCUCUAGCCAUUUGGCUCUAGAACGUAUAAAUGCACCUUUGGUGAGACCCUGCUAUCGGUAAAACCGGAAGCGGAGAUGACGUCGUAUGAAGUCCCACUACUCCCCCUAUGCCAGUUCUUUAUAGGUCGUCGACCGUAAUCAGUACUACUAGUUGCCAUCCGCCGUUAACUAAGAAGAGGAAGAUAAAGAAGUACACAUUACUGCUCGACCUCCAUAAUCGACCAAAUCCAGAUUCUGCAAACAAAAGAUCGGAGCCAAAUCCACCGCGACUUUUUCAAACCUGGUGAUCCGAAACCGAGGUUUAAAUUUCCGCUCCAACACCGAUUCAGCUCUGUUUCCAAACGCUCAUAAAGAAAAACAAGAGGAAGAAGUCGUCCACGUGGUACCGCGGUAACCACAAAGUUCUGUUUUCGCUUCUUCCGCUCUUGCGUUUGUGGAAAAUGUCCGGGUUUCAGGAUCUUGAUGAUUUAUUUAAUCGGCGGCUGCUGGCUGCGGUAAUGACGGACCUGGUCGAAAAUAGAACAGAGUCUGGAUACGAAGAGGAGCUCCGCCGCCAGAAAAAACUGCUGGCUGUGAUUUUAACACCCGAAAUCAAGCUGCACAGAGCAGGUCAGUUUUCCUUACACUUCUGGAUACAUGUUUCAAUGCCUUAACUGAAGCAAGCCCCACACACAGGCUGCAACAAACCAUAUUAAUGAAAUGGCAAAAUAAUAUGAUUAAACCUGAAAUGACUUUAGGGCAAAAAAAGUAUUUGUUUUUAAGGAAAAGUUUUAUUACGAAUUUAUGAAGUACUACACAACCGCAACAACAAAUACAACAGCUAUCCUAUACUGUUUUAUACUAUUAACGGCUGGACUGUGUCAAGUACUUGUAGUUUAAGAGUCACACAUUGGUUUGAUGAUGAUUCUGAAAAGCACAUGUUCCAGAUUUAUCUCUGUGGCCUACUUGAAAAUGUAAAUCUGUAUUGUCAGUCAGCAUUUCUCAUUUUUGUGCUGCCCAGCAGGCUAAAAUCCUGUCUGAUUCAGAGGGGUAAACCUUUUCAGAUAGAAUAGUUAACUUUCAUGUUUGUCUCGUCAGUGUUUCUAUACCCUUAAGCCCCUUUUUUUUAGAGGGCUUGAUAAACAUCUCACCCACUGUAACAGGGUAUUGGGGCGGGAAGAAAAAAAACUGUUUAAAACACUGAAAUUUCCUUGUUUUUCCAAAGUAUAUGUCUGUCUCCAAUUAUGAUGUACACUUUAAUGAUAAUUUAGUUCAAUAAAUAUCAGUGAGGGGAUUAGGAAUUGAAGCUUGGAAGGCUCUGCUGACAGACACACAAACUAUCACUACAACCUAGUUGAUUUGGAUCCAUGUGAACUAAAUGUGAGCUGAAUUCUGAGCUCUUAGUGUGAACUCUCACAAUGCUGCUCUUGGUUACCUGGGUUAAGUGUUUUAUCAACACUGUGAUUGGUUGCCUGGAACUAUUGUGCAGCAGCUUUUUGCACCAGGCUGCAUCCAUUCAGUUUUGCCCGAGAAGUUUCAGGAGCACAACAAUGAGCAUCAUAACAAAUGCUGAAACUGAUUUGAGAAUAACAACAGAUUUAGUGGUGCCUCUUCAACUAAAUCCAUGCUGCUGACAUUGUUCAGUUCUUGUCAGGAAUGUUGAAAAAUAGUCUGCUGCUCCGAGACAGCACAUACAUAGCUGGUGAGCUAAUUAAGUCCAACACUAGAGGGGGAAAUAUUAGUCCAUAAUCCCCACACUAACUCUUAUCUUUCUUGAGACUAUCAUUGAGUUUUUAAAUCUGCUUUCAUAUCUACUGAUGUUUUCAUCAACUUCUGUUUAGUUAUUGUUUUUCUGUGCCUUGCAGAUAUCCAGAAGGUGUUGGUGAAAAAAGAAGAGUUUCUCUCUGAGCAGCAGGGGAGGAGUCCCACUCUGGACCAGGGAUACACUGAGCCCCCGAACAUUUGCAAGGAACAGAAUUAUGGAGGACAAGAUCCAGCCAGUAACUACUCAGGGAUAAAUAUACAACGAAAGACUCAAGACUCCCCUGAACCUGAGACCGAGGGCAGUGAUGAGAAUUGGGAGGAUACAAAACCACAAAAGUCAAGUCUAAUGUCUGUGAAAAAAGUGAGAAAGAAGAUGCUAAAGAGGCUAGAGAAAUCACGUGUUGUCGAAUAUUCAAAAGAAGACAAGAACUAGCAAUCCACAUGAGAGUUCACUCCGAUGAGAGACCCUUCAGCUGCUCAGAAUGUGGCAAAACAUUCAAAACUAAAACUCAUCUGGAACAACACAUGGCAGUUCACUCAGAUGAGAGACCCUUCAGCUGCUCAGAAUGUGGCAAAACAUUCAAAACUAAACGAGAACUGGCAAUCCACAUGAGGGUUCACUCAGAGGAGAGACCCCUCAGCUGCUCAGAAUGUGGCAAAACAUUCAAAACUAAACGAGAACUGGGACAACACGUGAGAGUUCAUUCAGAGGAGAGACCCUUCAGCUGCCCAGACUGUGGCAAAACAUUCAAAACUAAACGAGAACUGGCAAAACACAUGAGAGUUCACUACAAUGAGAGACCCUUCAGCUGCUCAGAAUGUGGCAAAACAUUCAAAACUAAACAAGAACUGGCAAUCCACAUGAAAGUUCACUCAGAGGAGAGACCCUUCAGCUGCUCAGAAUGUGGUAAAACAUUCAAAACUAAAGGAGAACUGGGACAACACAUGACAGUUCACUUAGAUGAGAAACCCUUCAGCUGCUCAGACUGUGGCAAAACAUUCAAAACUAAAUACGACCUGGCAAGCCACAUGAGGGUUCACUCAGAGGAGAGACCCUUUAGCUGCUCAGACUGUGGCAAAACAUUCAAAACUAAAGGAGAACUGGGACAACACAUGAGAGUUCAUUCAGAUGAGAAACCCUUCAGCUGCUCAGACUGUGGCAAAACAUUCAAAACUAAAUACGACCUGGCAAGCCACAUGAGGGUUCACUCAGAGGAGAGACCCUUCAGCUGCUCCGAAUGUGGCAAAACAUUCAAAACUAAGGGAGAACUGGGACAACACAUGAGAGUUCAUUCAGAGGAGAGACCCUUCAGCUGCUUAGAAUGUGGCAAAACAUUCACAACUGAAAGAGAACUGACAAGACACAUGAGAGUUCACUCAGAUGAGAGACCCUUCGGCUGCUCAGACUGUGGCAAAACAUUCAAAACUAAAUUUGACGUGGCAAGCCAUAUGAGGGUUCACUCAGAGGAGAGACCCUUUAGCUGCCCAGACUGUGGCAAAACAUUCAAAACUAAAGGAGAACUGGGACAACACAUGAGAGUUCAUUCAGAUGAGAAACCCUUCAGCUGCUCAGAAUGUGGCAAAACAUUCAAAAGAGAAGGAGAACUCGGACAACACAUGAGAGUUCAUUCAGGGGAGAGACCCUACAGCUGCUCAGAGUGUGGCACAACUUUCCAAAGAGAACCUGUGUUGAUAAAACACAUGAGAGUUUGCACUGGAGAAAGACCCUAGAGCUGCCCUGGAUGUAAUAAACUCUCUCAGUCUCAGUAUUUAAAUUCUGCAAGCAUCUCUGCUAAAAUGAACACAUAGUUAGAGAUAGAACAAGUGUGUCUACAACUGCAGAAAAAAACAAGCAUGUAGAGUGGACUGGUCUAAGAACAUAGACUUCACCCACAGAAAGUGGCAGAGCCGCCUCUUUUGCCUGAGAAGACUCCGAUUAGAAGAAUAGAAUAGAAUAUUCCCCAAUGGGGGAAAUUUUCUUGUCACAGCAGCAUCACAGACAAAGAGUGCAAAAUUGCAGUUAUAAAAAUAAAGAUCCUAAUAUUAAGAACUUCAAUAAAUGUAAUAAUUAAGAAAAAAAAUAGAAAAAGGAAAAAGGGAGAAGAAAAAUAAAACUAUCUACAAUAUACACAAUUUAAAUGCCAGAAAAAAGUGGUGGUAUAAAUCCAGUUAUUAUUACAGUUGGUUGUAAAGUCGUAUUGCAGAGGGGAGGAAUGGCCUGCAGUAGUGCUCCGUCCUGCAAGGUGGAAGUCUAAAUCUGCUGCUGAAGGAGCUGCUCAACAGACAUCUGUAGUAAGAUGCUGCAGAUGUUUUAUCAGUCUGUGGUGGCAAGUGUUGUGUUCUGCGCUGCAGUCUGCAGGGGAGAAAGCAUCAAACACAAAGAUGCAAAACGUCUGAACAUACUGGUGAAAAAGGCUGGCUGUGUUGGAGGAUGUGGUGGAGAAAUGUAGACUGAGGGAGGUGGAGGCUAUUUUAAAGAACAUGGAUCAACCACUUCACAACACCUUAAUGGACCAAAGGGCCAAUGGUGGUGGCAGCUCCUCUCUCUCUACUGCAGGACAGAAAGAUUGAGAAGAUCUUUUGUACCCACAGCCAUCAGACUUUACAACUCUUUUAUAAAUAGUCGAUGACUUUUGAAACAUGACCAGUGAGACGACAGACAAUUGGAUUUUCUUUCAGGGAUCAAUAAAGUUAUUCUUAUUCUUAUCCCUUGUAUUUUUCUUUUUUUUUGUAUGAUCUGGACUUAAUGGGUCUGAAAUAACCCUCUGCUGGGGCAACACUUAAUCUUCUGUAUCUUGUCCUGUGCUCUCCUAUUAUGCAAUGCAGUGGGGCGAGGUGUGUUUUUUUUUUUCUAAAUUCACUUAUUAGAAUGCCGGAGAUACUUGUAUUGAGUCCUGGCUUUUUGAUGUCACAUUAGACCUCUCUUAAACUUAAAUAAUAUUAACAGUAAAAUGUAUUAGGUUUAUGACCAAAAUUGAUUGUUUAGAAGAUUAUGAAGAAGAUAAUAGGGACAGAGAGGGUAGAUAGUGAGGACAAAGACAUGACUACUUCAAAGUAUAGAGACAUCUAGUCAAUAAAUACUGAGAUACAAGGACAUUUGCUAACUAAACUGUUACUUUUGUUUGAGUACUAAAAUAUUUGCUUUUGAAAAUGCCUAGAUAGACCCACUCAUAUGACUUUUUAAGAAAAUCUCAAAACAAUGUUGUUCUCUCAUCAUUUAUGUGCGCACUGAACACAACAGGUUCAGCUACAUUAUUUAAUUACUCACAUUUUUAAACUCACAUGUUUUACAUUUCCAGCCUUGAUAUACUAGGAGCAGGAGUAGGAGCUCAUGGUUGAUGAUCAGUGAAGUGUCAGCUAAGCUUUACAAAGUGAGAAAGAAUUAAUAUUUUCUUCAUCUGGUAGGGUUCAAAGUGACAUCAAACAAGGACAACAAACAGGCAAAUUUAAAAUAGUCUAAUCUUCUUAACUUACUCACUUAGCCAGCAGACCAAAUUCAUCAGAAUUAAUUUGACCAACCAACCACUGAAUAAAAACAGCAAUCAAGAAACCACAAACCCAAACAGCUUGGAUUAAAUGUUCAUCUGAAUUAUUAGAGACUCCUAAUUUUACAGGAACACCACCACCAAGACGAGCCACGCAUAGACUGACACAUUUUUUAUUGUCUGUCUGGUUGGAUUUUAAAACUUAAAAACAUAAUUCCAGCUGACUUAAAAGCAAAAGAAGAAAGUAAUAAGAACAUCCAUACCCUGAAAAAUCAGCUGGCUCAAAGAUGUGUUGUGUACAGACAGAAAAUCCUUGUGAAGUGAUCAUUAAAACUGAAAUUAAAUCAUUAGCAGUUAUUCUCUUUACUCUGCAUGUAAAGAGAAUUACAGGAAGAAUCAGCCACUCUGAGGGUUUAUGGCUGGGGUCUAUUUCAAGGAUGAGUGCUUCUAGCGCCCUCUUGAGUUGAGUUCACAUGCUCUCUUCAGCCAUCCUCAAGCCUGAAGUGACAAUUUCGACACUCUCCAGCCAAGGAGAAAGGGUGAAUGUUUGUUCAGUCUGGGGGUCCUGCUGGUAAUUAACAUCUUUGUCUCUUUGAAAUGGAAAAGGCUGACUGUCUACCUUUGUGGGAGAGUAAUUUUUGGUUAUUUUACAAAAAAAAAAAAAAAAAAAAGAGGAGGUUGUGAAAGGCCACGAUUUUGUGUGGUGGGGUCAUUUUCAAAUUCAACAUUUUACAAAAAAAAAAAAAAAAAAGAAAAGCAGAAAUAUAGGCAUCGUGAGGAACACAAAAUUACACAUAGGCAUCAUUAUAAGUGAAUCUAGAACCAUUAAUAUUGGCUAGACUGUGUCAUCCGCCAGUUGAGUUAUUUUGAUUUCUUUCUCAAAAACUCUUUAGCCUUGAAAGGUAUGGCAGUGUAAAAUAUGUAUAGAGAGUAAUAAUAAUUAAUUAUCACAGUCCAGCUUAAAUUCGUUGGAUAUUUGUGGCGUAAAUUCUUUAACAUUGUUUAUAAAUUUUUCACAUUCAGUUUGAUUAUGAACAGAACUGUACAGAUCAGAAUAAAAUUUUAGAGUAUAAUUGGCAAUAUCAGAAGGAUCAGAGCUGGUUGAGUUAGCUAUUUUCAAAUAUGUUAUAUUAUUUCUUCUAUAAUUCCUUUUUUCCAGGGCGAAAAAGAGCUCGUAUUCAUUUCUCCCUCCUCUAGCCAUUUGGCUCGAGAAUGGAUAAAUGCACCUUUGGUGAGACCCUGCUAUCGGAAAAACCGGAAGCGGAGAUGACGUCGUAUGAAGUCCCACUACUCCCCCUAUGCCAGUUCUUUAUAGGUCGUCGACCGUAAUCAGUACUACUAGUUUCCAUCCGCCGUUAACUAAGAAGAAGAAGAUAAAGAAGUACACAUUACUGCUCGACCUCCAUAAUCGACCAAAUCCAGAUUCUGCAAACAAAAGAUCGGAGCCAAAUCCACCGCGACUUUUUCAAACCUGGUGAUCCGAAACCGAGGUUUAAAUUUCCGCUCCAAAACGGAUUCAGCUCUGUUUCCAAACGCUCAUAAAGAAAAACAAGAGGAAGAAGUCGUCCACGUGGUACCGCGGUAACCACAAAGUUCUGUUUUCGCUUCUUUCGCUCUUGCGUUUGUGGAAAAUGUCCCGAUUUCAGGAUCUUGAUGAUUUAUUUAAUCGGCGGCUGCUGGCUGCGGUAAUCACGGACCUGGUCGAAAAUAGAACAGAGUCUGGAUACGAAGAGGAGCUCCGCCGCCAGAAAAAACUGCUGGCUGUGAUUUUAACACCCGAAAUCAAGCUGCACAGAGCAGGUCAGUUUUCCUUACACUUCUGGUUACAUGUUUCAAUGCCUUAACUGAAGCAAGCGCCACACACAGGCUGUAAUAAACCAUAUUAAUGAAAUGGCAAAAUAAUAUGAUUAAACCUGGAAUGAUUUUAAGGCAAAAAAAAGUUUUUCCUUUCAAGGAAAAGGUUUUUAUUACGAAUAUAUGAAGUACUACACAACCGCAACAACAAAUACAACAGCUAUCCUAUCAUGUUUUAUCCUAUUAUCUGCUGGGAAAGGGAAAAAAAUCAAGUACUUGUAGUUUAAGAGUCACACAUUGGUUUGAUGAUGAUUCUGAAAAGGCACAAGAAAAGCACAUGUUCCAGAUUUAUCUCUGUGGCCUACUUGAAAAUGUAAAUCUGUAUUGUCAGUCUGCAUUUUUAGUUUUUGUGCUGCCCAGCAGGCUAAAAUCCUGUCUGAUUCAGAGGGGUAAAACUUUUUCAGAUAGAAUAGUCAACUUUCAUGUUUGUCUCUUCAGUGUUUCUAUACCCUUAGCCCCUUUAUUUGAGAGGGCUUGAUAAACAUCUCACCCACUAUAGCAGGGUAUUGGGGCGGGAAGAAAAAAAACUGUUUAAAACACUGAAAUUUCCUUGUUUUUUCAAAGUACGUCUGUCUCCAAUUGUGAUGUACAAUUGAAUAAUUAUUUACUUCAAUAAAUGUCAGUGAGGGGAUUAGAAAUUGAAGUUUGGGAGGCUCUGCUGACAGACACACAAACUAUCAGUGCAAACUAGUUGUUUUCGAUCCAUGGGAACUAAAUGUGAGCUGAAUUCUGAGCUCUUAGUGUGAACUCUCACAAUGCUGCUCUUGGUUACCUGGGUUAAGUGUUUUAUCAACACUGUGAUUGGUUACCUGGAACUAUGGUGCAGCAGCUUUUUGCACCAGGCUGCAUCCAUUCAGUUUUGCCCGAGAAGUUUCAGGAGCACAACAAUGAGCAUCAUAACAAAUGCUGAAACUGAUUUGAGAAUAACAACAGAUUUAGUGGUGCCUCUUCGAGUAAAUCCAUGCUGCUGACAUUGUUCAGUUCUUGUCAGGACUGUUGACAAAUAGUCUGCUGCUCCGAGACAGCACAUACAUAGCUGGUGAGCUAAUUAAGUCCAACACUAGAGGGGGCAACAUUAGUCCAUAAUCCCCACACUAACUCUUAUCUUUCUUUAGACUAUCAUUGAGUUUUUAAAUCUGCUUUCAUAUCUACUGAUGUUUUCAUCAACUUCUGUUUAGUUAUUGUUUUUCUGUGCCUUGCAGAUAUCCAGAAGGUGUUGGUGAAAAAAGAAGAGUUUCUCUCUGAGCAGCAGGGGAGGAGUCCCAGUCUGGACCAGGGAUACACUGAGCCCCCGAACAUUUGCAAGGAACAGAAUUAUGGAGGACAAGAUCCAGCCAGUAACAACUCAGGGAUAAAUAUACAACGAAAGACUCAAGACUCCCCUGAACCUGAGACCGAGGGCAGUGAUGAGAAUUGGGAGGAUACAAGACCACAAAAGUCAAGUCUAAUGUCUGUGAAAAAAGUGAGAAAGAAGAUGCUAAAGAGGCUUGAGAAAUCACGUGUUUGCUCAAAGUGUUGUCGAAUAUUCAAAACACGACAAGAACUAGCAAUCCACAUGAGAGUUCACUCAGAGGAGAGAACCUUCAGCUGCUCAGACUGUGGCAAAACAUUACAAACUAAAUACGACCUGGCAAGACACAUGAUCUAUCACUCAGAGGAGAGACCCUUCAGCUGCUUAGAGUGUGGCAAAAAAUUCAAAACUAAAUACGACCUGGCAAGACACAUGACAGUUCACUCAGAUGAGAAACCCUUCAGCUGCUUAGAAUGUGGCAAAACAUUCAAAACUAAAGGAGACCUGGCAAGCCACAUGAGGGUUCACUCAGAGGAGAGACCCUUCAGCUGCUCAGAAUGUGGCAAAACAUUCAAAACUAAAGGAGACCUGGCAAGCCACAUGAGGGUUCACUCAGAGGAGAGACCCUUCAGCUGCUCAGAAUGUGGCAAAACAUUCACAACUAGAUCCGACCUGGCAAGCCACUUGAGAGUUCAUUCAGGGGAGAGACCCUUCAGCUGCUUAGAAUGUGGCAAAACAUUCAAAACUAAAUACAACCUGGCAAGCCACAUGAGGGUUCACUCAGAGGAGAGACCCUUCAGCUGCUCAGAAUGUGGCAAAACAUUCAAAACUAAAACUCAACUGGCAAGACACAUGGCAUUUCACUCAGAUGAGAAACCCUUCAGCUGUCCAGACUGUGGCAAAACAUUCAAAACUAAAACUCAACUGGCAAGACACAUGGCAUUUCACUCAGAGGAGAGACCCUUCAGCUGCCCAGACUGUGGCAAAACAUUCAAAACUAAAGGAGAACUGGCAAGCCACAUGAGGGUUCACUCAGAGGAGAGACCCUUCAGCUGCCCAGACUGUGACAAAACAUUCAAAACUAAAGGAGAACUGGCAAAACACAUCAGGGUUCACUCAGAGGAGAGACCCUUCAGCUGCUCAGAAUGUGGCAAAACAUUCAAAAGAGAAGGAGAACUGGGACAACACAUGAGAGUUCAUUCAGAGGAGAGACCCUACAGCUGCUCAGAGUGUGGCACAACUUUCCAAAGAGAACCUGCAUUGAUAAAACACAUGAGCGUUUGCACUGGAGAAAGAACCUAGAGCUGCCCUGGAUGUAAUAAACUCUCUCAGUCUCAGUAUUUAAAUUCUGUAAGCCUCUCUGCUAAAAUGAACACAUAGUUAGAGACAGAACAAGUGUGUCUACAACUGCAGAAAAAAACAAGCAUGUAGAGUGGACUGGUCUAAGAACAUAGACUUCACCCACAGAAAGUGGCAGAGCCGCCUCUUUUCCCCUGAGAAGACUCCGAUCAGCAGACAUCUGUAGUAAGAUGCUGCAGAUUUUUUAUCAGUCUGUGGUGGCAAGUGUUGUGUUCUGCGCUGCAGUCUGCUGGGGAGAAAGCAUCAAACACAAAGAUGCAAAACGUCUGAACAUACUGGUGAAAAAGGCUGGCUGUGUUGGAGGAUGUGGUGGAGAAAUGUAGACUGAGGGAGGUGGAGGCUAUUUUAAAGAACAUGGAUCAACCACUUCACAACACCUUAAUGGACCAAAGGGCCAAUGGUGGUGGACAGCUCCUCUCUCUUUACUGCAGGACAGAAAGAUUGAGAAGAUCUUUUGUACCCACAGCCAUCAGACUUUACAACUCUUUUAUAAAUAGUAGAUGACUUUUGAGACAUGACCAGUGAGACGACAGACAAUUGGAUUUCCCUUCAGGGAUCAAUGAAGUUAUUCUUAUUCUUAUCCCUUGUAUUUUUCUUUUUUUUUUUGUAUGAUCUGGACUUAAUGGGUCUGAAAUAACCCUCUGCUGGGGCAACACUUAAUCUUCUGUAUCUUGUCCUGUGCUCUCCUAUUCUGCAAUGCAGUGGGGUGAGGUGUGUUUUUUUUUUCUAAAUUCAAUAAUAUUAACAGUAAAAUGUAUUAGGUUUAUGACCAAAAUUGAUAGUUUAGAAGAUUAUGAAGUAGAUAAUAGGGACAGAGAGGGUAGAUAGUAAGGACAAAGACAUGACUACUUCAAAGUAUAGAGACAUCUAGUCAAUAAAU
rnacentral:lncRNA from 1 species